rnacentral:lncRNA from 1 species
UGUGGAAUUACUUGUUUACUGACUUGCUUGUGCCGGGUGGUGACCACAACUACUCAUUCUAUUACUGGGGUCGGGCUAGGGUAUUGUAAUCAAAUGAAUCAAUUUCUCAAAGAACAGCCAAGACACUGCUAAUGUCGCGGCAGGGCUUCAGGUCUAGAAAAGUCGACAUCUUUAUCCUUGCUUUUCCCCUCCAUAAUUGGAUCUUUUCUUUAUAUAUGAUGAAACUCACUCGGGUCGGUAUUCCACAUAAUUCUACUCACUGGUGGUAAAGGUAAUGAUUCCCCGCCUAGGUAAGAGAUCCAGAGAGGGAUGAGAAGUAGAUGAGCCAGAGCAAGAUCAGAGGAAAGAUCAGAGGUAUAGUCGUUACUUGGCUAUUAGAAAUACAGCAUUUCAAGCCUAUAAAUAAAGAUAAAGAAUGGAACUAUUGGUACUAAGGCUGAACCAAGGUAGUUACAGGCUAAGACAACUACUAUCAAGAACCAAACCCAUAUGCUCGGAAUGCGUCUAAGGAGUCACAGGGACAAGCAACUACUAACUAUAAGACUUCAACUCAUCAGACAGAGGCCAAGCACUAACACUCAGAAUGGAGCUACUAGGGUAAAGACUUAAAGCAGUAACAACAAGCCUGAACCCACUACCGACCAUAAUCAAACAGUCAACCAGGAGGCGAGGAAUGCGGGUAAGGAGUUGAGAAUGGAGCUGCUAAGUGAUAGAACGAAACAAGGUAGUUACAGAAUCGAACCAGUCUGUAUCAGAAUGGAGCUACUAUGGGAAAGACUCCAAGCAGUGAGUAAAGGAAUGGAAGCAGUGCCACUCAUUCUUCAACCGAUGCCACUGAGACACCAACCAGUGCCCCUCGGAAUGGAGCUGGUGUCACUCAGGCUUGGUAUGGAGCUCCUCAGACUGAAGCGGUGUAGCUAAGGUCUAGAACCAAUGCAACUGAGACCAAUGCUAUUGAGUUACAGAAUGGAACGAGUGAGGGAUAGAAUGGAACGAGUGAGAGAAAGAAUGAAGCCAGUGCAUCUAAGCCUGAUGUCAGUGUUGCUAGGUAUGUAGCUAGUCGGUGUAAGGAUGGACUAGUGAGUUGAGCUAGACAGACUUAAGCUGGUGAUAUUGAUUCUCUGAGGUACUACUGGUGGUAUCGAUUCUAUGUUGUCUUAUGUAGCUAGUAAGACGGAUGCUAGUGCUGCUAGGAAAGUGAGAAUUGCACUCAUCGGUACAAGAAUCAACCCAGUAAACCCAAGAAUGCAACAAAGUCGUCAAAGAAUAGCACUGGCGAGGACAAGAAUGGCACUAAGUAGCCUCGGAAUGCAGCUAAGUAGUUACAGAACCAAACCAGUGAAUCCAAGAAUUAGACCUAUGACCUGAACUCCUCAUUUAGUUUAUUACCAGAACUCCUACCUUACCUAUGACUUGAAAGCCGCAUAAGGUAGUUUACUAACCCUAUGACCAGAAAGCCGCAUCUAAGUAAGUAUAUAAUAGUAUGACCAGAAAGCCGAGGUAUACCUAUAUUAACACCUAUGACCAGAAGUCCUAUAAAUUAUAUAUACUAUGACCAGAAGUCCACAUAUAGUACCAAGACUCAAACUAGGGAGUCACAGACUUAACCCAGAGCAACAACCAGCCUUCAACUACUCACUCCAAGGCUACAGCUACCAGCAACCAGAAUGCAACUACUAACCCCAAGGCUAUAUAGCUACCACCAAUCAGAAUCAAACUAAUGAGUCACAGACUUCACCCAGGCAUAGUAAGACUCCAACCAGUGCCUUAGCGCUUCAGAAGUUAUCUACUCAUAUUCAGGCAGUACAGAUGCGCUUUCGUCAACACCUUGACUCCCGCUUCAUUGCCGAGGAUUCCUACUUAUUAGAUAGAUAUGCACAAUAUAGAGAUUCUAGAAAUUAUUUGUUUGACUUCUCAGAUCAACUGUCUUGACUGCGCUGUUUAGGGUCAUUAUGAAACCAGAGGUGAAGUCGUAAACAACAACUGAUUGUUCUGCUCUCGUAGAGUUAUGAGCAAGUCCUGUACUGUACAGCUUAGCUUCCCUCUUAUUCCUAUUCCGGGGCAAAGCUACGAGGCAAGUCAUUACUACAAAAGCCAUAGGUAUUCCAAAUAGUAGAUAACAACUUAUAACUAUUGAUUGAACUCUUGAUAGCCGAGCACAUAACAAGUAAUUAGGCCCGAACUCCUGCCGCUAGUGUUCGCUCUUGAAACUGAUUCUGUAAUUCCGACUUAUGAGCUUGAGUCUGUUGGUGCAGUGUUUGAUUCUCGCUACCCUUGCUUUCAGGCUUGGACUGCUUAGCUCCAUUCUAUCCCUUGCUUGCUUUCAUUCUAAGAUGUAUUGGUUGAAGCCUUAGUCGACUUAGCUCCAUUCUUAGGUUAACUAGCUCAAUUCUAUCCCUUAGCCGCUCCACUCUUUCUAUUACAAUAGAUGCUUUUUGGGCCGCUCAUCUGUGCCCGUUUGAUGGGAAAAUACAUGUGGGAUAAGCCUAAUAUAGUGGAUAAUGCAUUUAAAGCCUAUACAAAAGAAGAAUGACUCGCUACCGCCAUAAACACAUCUGAAGUAGUAACUACAAAUAAUGUAUUAUAUGAGCUCUUUUCUGACAGUUGCCUUUUUGUAGUUGCUUGGUGGACUUGUUUAUAACUAUGCUAUAACUACUUAUUUGUCCUACCUCUUUGGGUCAUUAAGCACUACUUGGCCUCACUCCUACUGUUGCUACUAUCGCCUCGCAUCAAAGCAAGUACUUUAUUCAUUUCCAACCGAAACUCUCACUAAGGUAUACACAAAAAAAGAAUGAUUUCUCAUCUUUAUAUGUUUUAUAUGUCCCAACAGUAGGAAGAGAGCAAACCCGCUUUAAAUGGAAUUAUUAGGGGGUUGAAGAGGGCACAUGCAUAAGAUAGAAUAGAUAUAAUUAAUAUAGUAAUAGCCUAACUAGAACAAUUGACGAACUAGUCUAUGCUUUCCUCGCCCAAACGGAAUUAUUCCCGAAUUGAACAAGUAAGUAGUUUGAGUUUAAUUAGCGGCAGUUUCCUUAUAGUAUAGUUGAUACCGAGUAGAAGUAGAGAGAUAGGGUUUCUAGAAGUAGAGAGGUCGGGUCUGGUCUUCAAGGGAAGUUUUGUUUGGUGCUGUAGCUCCUAGCAGUAGCUUGCCGGUGAGUGACUGAGUUAGUUGUUUCAUUAAAUAGAGUAACUUGGCGCCUACUUGUCUAUCCGUUCCUUGGUCUAACUACUAAGCUUGGCGCGCCGUUGCUUGGCCCGUUGCUUGGCCCAACAAGUGGUAUAAGUAGGAGUAUCGGAGUAAGUUGUAUAAGUAGGAGUGAGGGCAAGAAGAGAAGAUAGUACUCGCGCCCUAAGUUGUAGAGACAGGAGAGGUUCUCGUGUUGCAGUAACAGAAUCAUAGGAUUGAUCCGCGCUAAGGGAGUUUCUAGUGUCAAUUCCUGGACUACUAUCAGUAUAAGCCGAAUACUAGUCAUAGAGGGAAAAAGCCAAAGCCGAUGAUCAAUAUCUAGUAGGAGCUCUUUUAGAAUGUCCUGUUCGAGUUAGAGUGGAAUACCGGUAGUACUGGGGCGUAGUAGUACUGUUCUGGUGAUUGUUUCAUUUGUCUGGAUGCAAAUAGAUAAUCUCUUCUAUUCCAAUUCAGCCUCUUAUACUGCUCCUAUACUAUUCCUAUGUAGUUGAACUAAUUAUUGUAGUGGAACUAGCUCCUCUUGUAGUUGAACUAAUUAUUGUAGUGGAACCCAUUCUUGUAGUGGAAUUAAUUAAACCACGCACCUAGGAGCAGGAACUGUAAUAAUCUUAAAUACGAACAGAAGGAGCACAUGGUUAGUUACCUCUUCUAUCUCACGAACACCAAAAUGUAGCAGUAGCUUGGCGCCCCCACUUAUCCAAAAGUAAAGCUAUCCGCUUGCCGGUAUAUAUAAGUCUCUUCUUCUCCCCUGAUACAGCAACAUCUAGACCGAGUGAGGCUCCAAAAAACAUCUAUUGUAAUAACUGGUAAUAUCUAUUAUUAUUGCUACCGCACAACGUCUUACGCCGUUGCUUGGUGCGUAACAUUAGUAGUUACUUGGCCCUAUUAUUAUGGUCAUUACCUUGACUUCGAUACACAACUCUUAAUACGCUAGAUCAUCAUACCUUAUUCCAAUAUUCUUUAUAGUACUUUAUAUUCUUACUUAUAUUACUUGUUAUUCUUCUACAAUAUAUAUUACUUGUUAUUCUUCGACUAAUAAUUCAUAUAUAUUUGAUUAAUUCCUUGACUGGGCUAACACCGGUGAUCAAGCUUCUUCCCUUAACUCAACUCAAACACCAAUUGAAUCUAUGGCAGUCAGAUCCACUCGCCUUGAAAACAGGAGUAGUGACUUGGCGGACUAGUUUCUGGCGCCGAGGAAACAAAGGAUUUACCGUUAGCUCACUUACCCUAACGGGUCACCCUAAACUAUAUUACACUGAUGCUAACUCUGCUGAUAUACCUAUUACUGCUAACUUUCCUUACAGCAGGAUCUGGCUCUGCUCUACCCGAUUUAUAGUAUUAGGCUUUAACACCUGAUUUCUAGUCUCUUUCCCUACUCUUUUAGUCUAGUGGUAGUAGUCCUGUUUCACCAGUAGUAUAAUAGUCUAGUGCUCUGGUCCUGUUUCAUAAGUAGUUUAGUUGUAUCCAGAAGUAGAGGAGCCAUAGGUAAUAUAUAGGAGAGGAGCCGAGUUCAAGCGGUAGCGAGUUCAGAGCUAAAGUGAGCUAAAGCGGGGUAGCGAGUGAAAGGCUAAAGUGAGCUAAUAGCGUCAGUGCGUUCGGGAGUUUGUACAAGUUAUUCCUAGUCUUGCGUUCGGAAACUAGCAACUCGCAGACAGUAAUAUAAAUACGGGCAGGCAGCCUAAAUAUAAGACAUACGAAAAGCAGCCUAAAUAUAAGUAAGGGGCAACUCUGUAGCCGAAGAAUUCCACUAGUUCCACUCAGAAUUCAGUGUUAGUUUACAGAGCCAUAGAUAUAGUAGCCGGAGGUGUUGUAGAGUAACUUGGCUCCUACUUGCUAUGUGUUUGUGAGCCGACAGCUGGGUGAAAUGAAUAGUUGCCUGAGUUGGAUGAGAAUAGACAGGAGCCAGAGGAGAGUCUUGGUUUACAGAGCAUAGGAUUCCGUGCUUGUGUUAAGCAAAGAAUACAAGAUAUAAUUGUGUGGAGAACGCCUGCCGCGUAACGUUAGUAGUUACUUGGCCUUGGCCUAUACUAAAUUCAUUAUAUUAUUAUUAAGGAGAAAGUUGAGAAAGAGGGAAGUCCUGUCUUCGGGGUCUCUAACCACUACCGGCAAGAAUGCAAUCAUUGCCCCUCAGAAUGGAGCUAAGGAGUCCAAGCCUGAUGCUAUCGGUAUCGAUUCCCCGCAUCUAGUUUCAGAAUCAAACUAAGGAGUGCAAGCCUGAAACCAAUAUGUAUGAGAAUGAAGCGGCGGAGUCACAGGAUGAAACGAGUGAGACAUAGAACCAAACAGCGCACCAUCAGACUGAAAGCAGUAACUCCAAGGCUUAAUAAACGAGGUAGCCAAAGAGUUGAGCUAGUAAGGGGGGUAGUCUAGGUCAGUUACUAAGAUCAGAAUGCAACUAAGAGGUGAGCUAGUCGUGGAGCUGCUAAGUGAGUUUUAAGAGCUACUCCGGCCGGGGAAGUCCGAUACUAAGUAUUCCCUAUGAAAGAAUGGAGCUAGCAGGGGUCAGAUCAGAAUUGAACUCAAUCUAGGCUUGUUUACUUACUUGCUUGUUAGGUCCCUUAUUGUAGUGCCUAUUGCCUAGUUGGAGGUCGGGUGGUUUCAUGAAGUGACCUCGGGUCGGCAGGUCAGAUAGAGUUAGUUCGGGUCGGGAAGCAGUUAAGUUACUUGAGAGGUGAGCUAGUAAGGGAAAGAGCUAGUAUGAGAAUGGAGCUAGCGAAACUCAGAAUGCAACUCAGAGGGAAGCUAGUAGGAAAGUAAGAUGGAGUUAGUGCGGGUAGGGGCAGAGUCAAUUGCGGAAUCAAUUCCUAGCUUUGAAGCGGGUGGAGGAGUGUCAUAAAGAUAGGUCGGGUCGGGUGCCAGUCCAGUAGUCAUGUCUUGGCUGUAGCCUGAGGUAGAUGAGCCAGAGUUGGAUGAGCCGGAGGUGUAGUAGAGUAACUUGGCGCCCACUAGCUAUGUGCUCGGGAGCAAGAAAAGUCUUAGUUAACAGAGUCGAGGUGUUCAAGAUCAGACUUAGUUUACAGAGCAGAGCCAGUAGUUUAUGGUUUGAGUUUCAUCCCCUUCAUUAGGAGUUGACUCCCUUGUUUAGUCUGAAGUUGACAAGUAGAGGUGUCUGGUCCAGUGGAAUCAGUAUGAGUAGCCUGAGCAGAGGUCGAGUCAACUACUUUAUACAUAUUGCUAUCAAAAAACACGGGGUUUUGUAAAAAAGGAAUGACUUUGGAUCGGUCUAUUAGGUAAAAUUCCAUCACUGCCUUUUUUCACGGGGCCAAGUAACGACUAAUGUUACGCGGCAGGGAGCUUUGCAAAGAUCAGAUUUCCAUUAGUAGUUCCUUGGCCCAGUUGACUAGUAGUGGUCCAAAGAGUAGAUCUAGGCUAGGUAGUAGUCCUGUUUCACCAGUAGAGUAGUCUAGUCCAGAAUCCAUACCAGAAUCCAUAUUAGUAGUAGAGUAGUAAAGAGUACAGACCAGAGCAAUAACUUGGUUUGUUGACUUCGGAUCCACUGGAAAUUCAGUAUUCACUAACAUCCCCCUUAGUUGACUACGGAGAAGUAGAUGAGCAAGAGUGAAAAGAGCAUAAGUGGAAGUUUCAUUUUGUGUGCGUGUGUUGGCGUAGAUAGAAUAAGAGAAGAAUACGUUCUCGGCUCUCCCUUUGCGCUCGUUGUUUACUCUUUUCUUUCAUAUGCGCUCGAUGGAUUGAAUUCCCUUUGAAGAAUAAUAACCGCAGGCAGCUUACCCUAUUAAGUAAGUCGGAAAACAUCAAUUCCAUUUCUUAUCGAGGUUGCUUGUCGGCUUGGUCAUGAGUAGUUGCUUGUUGGCUAAGAUACCCCAAUUAGGUUUAGUUGGUGGAGCGAACCUCGCAUAUGGACAUUGCAGGCAGGCAGUACAAGUUGACUAUAUUGAUGGAACGAAGCUACCCAACAAUACUAUAUACUUUGUAAUAAGAAAUUGCAUAGGUUUAUAUCUUCUUUAUUAAUAGCAUAGGUAGAGCAAUUCAUUUGACUAAGAAUACUAAGAAUAGGGUCAUAAUCAUAGGUUUGUUGGCGAGCAGGGAAAGGUACGUCAAUCCUUAUUUAUACAAUUACAAUGCUGUCUGUUGUCGAUGCAGAAAGGAGCAAGGGGCUACAGAUGCUACGAAAGCUAGGCCUGAGUUAGAAAGAGCGGAUCGGGAAACUUAGAUCAAGGAGAGGUAUAGUGAAACUGUAGUAAUGGGCAGAUAGGCUUGGUGUCGGUGCCAUAGCAUAGUAUAGUCUUUUAGAUAAGAGUUCGGGCUCUCGGGUGCCCUAGACAGAAGAGAGUUUACUCAGUGCGAAUGCUAUUAAUAUAAAGUUUACUCAGUGCUUCUAUUUCUUCUUUAAAAGAGAGUUUAUUCAGUGCCAAUUCGAUUCUUGCUUAUAGUAGUUGAUUUCACUGUUUCGGUCUUGCGGUUAAUAGUGGAUUUCUCUCUUACUGUCCUAAACCCCAGAGUUGUUUGUUUCAAUCGUGGAGGUCGCAGUUAAAGCAAUAGACUUUAUGGCAGUAGCGAUAGACCGCUCUAAAGUUGAGUCUUAAUUAGGUCUAGUAAUUCUAGUUUGAAAGAGGAGAAGGGCUGGCUAAUCUUUCCAGCACUGGUUGCUGUCUCGCUUGUAGUAGUAAAAGGAUCCGAGUAGUAGCUCUAAAGUGUCUAGGGGUAAUUUCCCAGGGGUAGGGGUCAAAUGCUUUCUUUUCAGUUUCAGAACUAUGAGAUAUUGACUUUCUCUCUAUUACAUUACUUAUCUAUGAACUCUAGUAAAGUGACUUAUCUAUGAACUCUAGUAAAGCACCCGAAUGAGAAAGAUGCGCUCAAGCACCAAACCCAUAUUAUUGCCCGUUUCCCUGCUCCAAAGGGGAAGUCAAAGCGUAAGCCUUAGACACAAGCAUAAGCACCCCCACCCCAGAGACUGUAUUUUCAGAAGCACCCCCAGAAACUCUCCUUUCUUAACCAAAUGAUUAAGUCGCACCAAAAGACACUCUCCUUUUACCACUUAGCGCAUCAAAGCCAGAUCCUUCUGUUCUGAACUUACUACUUUUGCACCCAAAGAGACUCCACUUGUUGAAACACUUGCUGUUGAAGAAGGAAUGGAUUCUUAUGCUGCUUCUUGCCUUGUUGAAUGAAAGAAAUAAGUUGGUUGCAUAAUUAAGUAAACGAACUGCUGACUAAAAGUGACCUAAUUAUUGAACCCUCUCCAAUAAGCCUAAUGUUAGUGCCUCGUAAAGAAUUAUUACCGAUGCUUUUGAGUCUGGAAGCAAAAGAAAAGGGAAGAAUAGAGUAACUUAACUGCUAUACCGUACUCGCACGCAACUCAACUAAGAACUCGGUUAAAGCAAAGGGAAGGGUAAAGCCUCGCCUUAGAUAAUAGGCCAAACUUCAUCAUGCUGGAAGUGAAGAACCGAUUGCUGCGUAUUUCCUUGAUACAGAUACAUACCCUGCUACAUCUUUGGCUUCUUAGACUCUGAUUAAAUAAUGACUUUUCUAUACUCAAGACCUGAAGUAGGAAUUGAUUAUUAUACGAUUGCCUGCUAACUGACUUUCAACAACAGAACCGCUUGAGUUUGAUAGUUCCCGUGUUGGCUUAGAAGCGGGAGGGAAAUGAAGUGUAGCUCGAGUUAAUUCAACGAUAGAAGAAAUCAUUUGGUGAAGUUUGACUUUCCGCCGAGAUGUCACUUGUGCUCGGGUGUUCGGGAACUCACUCAGCUACUUACUGCCUACUGCACACUCCAUCACUUACUGCCUCGGCGCUCGAAUCGAAAGAUGAAAGAAAUUCUUUUCCUGCUGUAUUUCCUUUUCCUGUUUGACUUGACGCAAGAAAGAUAUAAUGAUUUGUUGCAAUCGGGGCGGCGGUAGAGUAUCCUGAUGAUCCUGAAUACGAGUAUCCUGAUAGUCCUAGACUCGCAACCAACUACGCUUCGGUAUGAGCAAGUGCUUUAUUAAUGGGGUAAAGAAUAGGCUAAAGUAUGUAGUGGGUAAAGAAUAGGCUAAAGUGAGUUUAGAAGCGGCUCUUCCAUAAGGGAUAGAUCUAGUGCAUAUAGUAAUGGAAUGGGGCCAAGCAACUAGACAAGUCACGACUACAAACACAGAUGAUACAGGGGAUGCAACUAAUUCCACUUCACUCAAACAGGCUCUUUUCACUCAUUAGUGACUUUCUUUCCUUCCCGCCUCAAAGCCUUUACUUGAGUCUUUCCCAGAACUGCUAGGGAGUCCUUUCUUCUCCAAACUGGGAAUCCAAGUAAUGCUAUUAUACUGAAACACGACACCCGGGCUUAAACAACCCAUUACCGAGCGAGAAUCUCAUAAAUAGAGGAAUGACACUACUAAGAACAACCUCGAAAGUGAGAAUCGGACCACUGCUUCUGUGCCUCCACUCCCUUGAGCCUAGUCAGCCCUGCCCUACUUUGAUUCUUUAGCUACCGAUACGAUCCUAUAUUGCAUUCUUUGACUCCUAACUCUAACUAUGACACUACGCUCUCCUAUUCUUUGAUCACCAUCUAUGAAACUGCCCCUCUCGACUUUCAUCCUCUAACAGCUGGUCCGGAUCCUAGCUUAUUAUUCUUAGGAUUGAGUUGAGUCUACCUCGCCUGUUUUUUAUCCUGACUUCUUUGUUGAAAACUUCCCCUGCUGACCUCAAUGCCGAGUUUGUCUAUUCCUCUCCUCUUGCCAAGCCUGCCUCCCUUGUGCACCUAAUCUGGCUUGUUAGUUAUGGAAUCCAACACCCCAUAACAAGUGAUAACAAUACUACUUAGCCGCCCGGAAUUAUACUCGAAAUACAGAAUGAAAACACUAUAGAAAGCUACCCCAUAAGAGGAAGAACUAAGGGCAAAAAACGAAGUAAGCGCUACACUUAUAUUAGAAUAAGCUUGUUGCUCUCUUCCUAAUACCCAACUUAUGGAGCCUAUCAUCAACGCUCUCUUCCUAAUACCUAACUUAUGGAGCUGAACCCGACCCGACGCCUUAAAUCUCAUAAUUCUAAUAUGGGAACACUCUGGUUAUAGAAUCGAAUCCAUUUAUUUCCCUUCACCGACCUAAGCUCAGCUAAGGGAUAGCUGCCGCCGAUAUUCAUAUAACAAGUAUAGUUAGAGUAAGCAGUCUGUAGGUUUGUUACAAGAUUCUAUAAUAAGGUGGUGCACUAAAUGGAAAUUAAUGAGUUGCGCAAGAAGGAAUGAUUCUCGUGUCCAACUCAUAGGAAUCAACCCACCCACACUUUUCGAAUUGAUCAUUUGGGUAGUAGCACAGGAAUGAACCCCACACUUAAUAAUUUCCCGACCUCGACUAAUUGAGUAAAAGAAUGAAUCUAGCAAUUAAGGCUUACCUCACUAACUGGGGACCACUGCUUAUAGGACGACUAAAACAUAGAACUCCGGUACGCUCUCACGCAUAAGGCUUUAACUCAUUAUUAAGAAAUUGGGAACAGGAAAUGGAACUACUUAUUAUUCGAAUGAAACCACAACUCGUCAGGUGUAAUAGGUGCCUAGUUAGACUUCAACUCAGAAUUAACGUCGUAGCCUAAGAGUCAACCCCGGGCAUAAGACAACAGUAGAGUAUGCAUUUAGAAGACGACAACUAGUAUGCAGAGUAGCGGUAUUCGGUAUUAGAAUGAAACCAAAAAGCAACAGGAUGAAAUUCAGAAGUCAGAAUGAAGGGAACAAGUAGUAGAAUUCACCCACCGAACACACACACACCUUUCAGAAUUCACCUCGGCAUCAGGAUCCUUGCUUUUUGUGACUGAAACUUCAAUUACUUACUUGUUUUCUGACUUGUUCGGACAGGGCUCCUUACUUGGCUAUUCACUCUUCAACUCCCCCACGACCUCCACUCCAAUCUUAUUCCUAUAUCCGACCUCCAAUCUUAUUCCUGUACUAAGCAUUAAACCAAUGACUUCAAGCCGUCACGGCCAGGGCCAGACCAAUAGGGAGCCUUAAAAUACUUGCUUUCAACCUAGCAUUCCGGAAUCCAAUUAUUAUGUGUACUUAUGAUUCUUCCACUCCUUUAACUAUAUUACUCCUGCCGAUGAGGCUUACCUAGGACUUCCCCGGGUAAAGUCUUUCUCUCUUUAGAAUGCUUUAAUUAUUAUACUUGCUCCUUCCACUCUGUAUUUCACCUAUGAUUCUUAGGCCCCAGGUUCCUUCUUAUUCGUGCCCCCGAUGUCCGAGUCCUCCGUUUAUACUAGUAAUUCAGUAGUUCCUAUUUCAUUCUUUAAUCAAAUCUCAGAUGUUGUAAUUAUGACCAGUGCUCUUCUCAGGCUUUUUAAUGGAAUGACACUAAUGCCUCGCCUCUUGCUCUACGCAUCCAACAGCAUACCUUUAGCCUACCUUGACUCUAACUCUCAGCACUUAUGGCAUCAAAGCCGAUACUUGAUUCUUCAAAUGAGAAGAAGAAAUUCCAUGCAUCAAUUCCAGGCCUUGAAGCGGGGUAUCUUCACCAGGCAAGCAACCGUGCUCUCUCAGGCAGAGACAGGAAAUAAGGAACUCAACUCUAUCUAACAAGGACUCGCGAGUCAAAGCAUGAAACUACUACUUGCUACUUGAGUAAAGAGCCGAUGGAGUACCAAAAAGGUAGUAGACCCGAACUCAAUUACAAGGAUCGGAUACUUAUUCACUUAUUGCAACACCGAAUUGAGAGUCGACAGAUAAUAAACUAGGAUGAAACUCACCCGACCUCUUCUACCGGCAACAAUUCUCUACUCCCCUGCGCUUCUGAUAAAACUUCUAUUACCUCUCGGAACGGGUGCAUUGCUGAUAGGCUAUUGUCACCAACUACUGAAACUGACUAUAAGGGCUCGGCAACACCUUAACUUUCUUUGGAAUCUUACUAAACUGCAUCCCCUGCCCUGCGGACCCGACACCUCCAAUAAGUGCUAAUUGCGCCUCUCUCUCCUCAAUAGGACUCCAUUUCAAAGAUACCUGAAUGAGGCCUUGAUUCUUUGCCUCUCUCUCCUCCGUCAACAAAGAAGGAUGAAACUUUACUCUCAUCUAACUCUUACUCAAAUACAAGACCCAGACCGGAUCCUAAUCCUGUUUCAGAAACCACUUAUACACAAGAACUGACGCGUAAAGGAACUAACUUUAGCCAUGAAGACAAGACAGGACAGGACUCUGCAACUUACUAUAAGGGCCUCUAUAGCAAGCACUUUUAGACCCACCCGGUCGCCAACAACUGUGUAAAUUCUAUCUUAUUAUAUAAUUAUAGGAGACUAUCUUCAUGCCCCAACUAACUCAACAAGAACCAACAACACUAGCACCAACCUAUAUAGGGGAAAGCCAACCACCAGAUGCUGAUACGGACACCGAGUCUGGGCCCGAUCAUGCUUCAACUAAUUCUUAAAGAGUAGAUGUGGCUUCUAUAUAAGAUGAAAGUCACCCUGGUAGGUAGUUGUAAACAAAUACAGUAAUUAGUCUAAGCAGGAAGUUUCGAAUUGUAGACAGUUGCAAGAGGCGAGCUAGGUUAGGGAGUUGGCAAGCUAUGUACCAUGUCAGCUAUAGGAAUCUAAGCUCCAGUGCCAAAAAGAACCACUGUCAUUCUAUUCUAUAAGUUAACGAGUUAGUGAAUCUAGCCUUAAAGCUAGGGCAAAGGGCAGGGUCAAUUCCUUCUGAAGCGGGAAGUAAAGACAGAAAGACAUUAGUAACACCUAAAUCUCGGAAAGAGAAUGAUAAGGCUUUCAUCCACCCGUACACUAAUGGAUUGAUUCGAUAUACACCACUAAGGCAAGGCAUCCAUACAAUGAAGGGCUUUCUCUACUAAAUGCAUUAUUUAUCUUAUUAGAAGAGUAGUUUACCCCAUUGUUAGUUGCUAUAUAUAAGAGUAGUUUAAAUGCAAUAGAUCAGACCCACACAUGCAUGGUUGGUGAAGAGCACUGGUUGACUUUGAUGAUGUAGAUUUCUUUCAAGUGCGAUAAGCCCCUCCGCCAUCCUCUGUCCGGGGUAGUCCCCAACUAGCUGUAUUGAAUAGAGGCACCCGCGGAUCUGUUCCCUGUAUUUUGAGAUAGCAAAUAGUUUGAUGCGAGGUAGCUAGGGUAUCUGCCUUCAACCGGUGCUCCAACUUACUAUAAGAGCUGAUGCUGGUGGUAUCGAUUCUCUUUAGCAGUCAUCCUAUAUAUAGAGAUUCUAAAUGAACCGCCAAGACACUCACUGAUUCCACUCGGUACUCGGUAUUCCACAAGAACACAGAAAGAGACUUGUCAUCGGCAAGCGUAUACUACUAAUACGAGAUGAGUUGCGUGUUAGAGAGUUCCGAGCUCACAGUGCAUUCUGUAUCUGGGAGAAAUAUGGUACUGGCCGGGCAGCAAGCGUGUCUGCAAGUUGGUUCUGUUCUUUAGGGUAGAGAUAGAGCUUUUUAGUUGAACAGAGGCAUAGGUCUUACGACUCGAAAUUCCAUCAGUAAGUCAAAGCAGGAGAACAAGCUGAAACACCUAGAUACCUUCAUGCUUCAUAUCUCGAGAAAGUCUCUUCCCUUGUUUGUCGAUUCCACUAGAAACGGAACUUGCUACUGGUAGAUCAGGAUCAUCUGCUGUAGCUGGAGCAUAAUAUCUUACAGGUAAGGAAGCGCUAAGUGGUCCAACCCCAAGCAUUAUAUUAAAGGCGGGUAUGUAAGUGCAAUUACUGGUUUACUUCGGACAAGUCACUUUAUAGGGUAGACUGCUUGAGUGUAGGGCGAGUGGAGUCUAUGAGAGGGGAUUCCUUCUUGUCGAGGAAAUACUUGUUCAGGGAAAGAAGAAAGUAGAGGCUUUGAAGCAGAAGAAACUAGUUCAGGAUCGGAGUGGGAUCGGAGCUCUUCUGUUCUGGUACUAGGCUAAUUGACUGACUUGGCGGGUAGGGUGUAAUCCUAGAGGUCGGGAAUUGUCUUAGAGAAUGAAGCUGUUAAUCGAUUAAGACUAAAGUAAGCAGUCGAGGCACUAGAAUUGACCGCCUCGCAAACUAGAAUACUAUACUGAUUGACUUAUUGCUCGGGUCGGAGUUGCUAGUUAGGCUAGGCUUAGGCUAGUUUACUGACUUAGUUUACUUACUUAGUUUACUUACUUAGUUUACUGACUUGUUAGGUUAGUUGUAGAAUUCUAUUACUUACUCGGGUAGUUUACUGACUUACUAGUUGGUUGGGGUAGUAAAGGGAUAGGUCAUCUGCUUGUGUUAAGCAUAGAAGAAAUAUGGAUCCUAAGAGAGCUCCAAAAAACAUCUAUUGUAAUAACUUGUCAUAUCUAUUACCUUGGCUACCGCACAACGUCUUGCGCCGUUGCUUGGUCGGAACAUUAGUAGUUCCUUGGCCCCUACUGGCAGACCCAUUUUGGAUGAUGUUUUUCCGUUUUCCCGGGAUUUUAGAUAGCAAAUGUAUAAAUAGUAUGGGACUGAACUUAGGCUUAAACUAGGCAUUCCACUUAAACAAGAACAGGAGCUAGACUACAUGAAACUAGGGAUUCACCAACAACAAGAAAAGUACUACCGGUCUGAAGACUCACACUCUCACAGGACAUUCUCUUUUUGCUGCUGACUUAGGCUGCCCUUCACUUUGAUACUUGACUCGCUUGCACUGCCUCAGAUCGUUCUCUUGCAGAUUCCUCUAAUGAACUAGUUACAGCUGGCUCUGCUCUAGCUCUAACAGCUUUCUUUUUUACUGCUGACUUCCUUUCAACAGCUUCAUCUGCUCCAGGUACUCUCCUUUCUAUAGCAACGGAUAUGGUUUCUUCUCUGACUCUUUCUCUAUCUUCUGCUUUUUCUUGAGUUAAUGACUUACAGAACCUACUUCUAGCAUUUUCAUCUUUGACUUUCGCAUUAGGAGUUUUUCCAGUAUCCAAUGGAAAGUAAGGUAUCAAUCCAUUUCCACCCCGGUGACCGGUCCACGUAAGGCACUUAGGGCUAGAUCUACCAUACAUAGCUACCGUUCCGCUGACUUGAAACCCACUUGCCGCCCCCUACUUACUAUUUCUAAAUGAAUUUGAAGCCCGAAACGAACUCUUAUAAGUGUUAACCCCGAGCUCAUCUAACUCUGUCUCUUUUCCCUCUUUCUCCUUCUCUUGCUUCCUCGCCUGUUCCUACUAAAGAAUGGUGUUUACUUUACUUAUGACUUGCCUAUCAUUCUGAGCAUCCAUUUACUCUAUCCGAUCUAUACUAUGUCUAUCGAUUGUUUAUGAUAACUCUAACGAGGGCCCUACUCAUUAGUACAAGAGUCAACAACCCUACAAGAACGAAGCUGAUGAAGUAAGGCUUGGCAAUGGAUAGAUAAUAUAGGGCUGGGGCUGCUACUGCUUAGUUGCUUGGUCGGAUAGGAAAGGAAUCAGAAUCAAAGUAUUUCAACGGUAUGCUUCUAGGGGACAGGAGAGUAUUAGUACUAAUAGAGAUAGGGAGUCUAACCUAGGUCAGUAUAAGACCAAUAGUUAUUGAUUGUCAUGAUCUAGGGCAUUCUAAGACCUGGUGGUAACAACAAGGCGUAACCCUAAAGAACUCAAUAUCAAUUACCAUUAGUAUAAUAAUGACCAUUAUCAGCAGGAUAAGAAUCAGAAUGCGAACACUAAGCCUUAAGCACAGAAGCUGGCGAUAGUAGGAGCUCUAGUUGGGAGCGGUAGAUUAAUCAAAGUUCACUACAGACUCCGGGGCAUUAGUGGAAGUUUGAGAAGACACUAGCUCUAUUGUUGCUAUAUAGGUAUUUGUACUCCUUUUAGUGGUUUAGAGCCUUAUAGUUAGUAUCGGAUUUACUCAUUAGUAGAACGGGAGACAGGGAUAUUAGUUUCAAAGCAAAGAAGAGCAGACAAAUAGGCAGUUGUGUUAGUUUGAUCAGUGCUUAGUUUCAUUCCUUUUUUGGAUUUCUCUUAUGAAAAUAGUAGCUAAGUGAGUUUCAAACAGUGGAGCUAGGAUCGGAUCUUAAUCCGCAGUUAAACCCUAUUUCUCCCUUUGAGUCUUAUAAGCAGAGUAGUAGUAGCCCCUUGUUAUCAGUAGUGGAGCUCCUUAUUACAAUAACCAGUAUGAUAAGCACUCUGUACACUCUUUCUAGUAGUGGGUUCAGUCUCGUUAGUCUGGAUUUUUUCCUCUUACGCUCGAGUGCAAUUCCAAUAGUGGGUGCUUUUUGGGCAGUAAUAUAAGUUUUCUAGUGAGUAGUGCCCUGGUUACUUAAAACUCCGUGAAUCAAAGUAGCAAUAAGAAAUACAAGUCGUGAAGUUUCAGAAUGCAAAUACAGAAGAGAUAACUCAUAAGUCAUAGUAUCAAUCAGUAUUUGUAUAUAAGUUAUAGUAUCCGUAGUAAUUAGUAUUAGAAUGAAUGAAAGAAGUAAGGAAUACCAGCUACGGUUGCUUGCCUAAUAAGGAAACAAUACAUAAAACAACUUAAUAAGCCCACAUUAUAAGUCAAUUAUGAUAAGUAAGAAAAUAACAUAGAAGUAAGGCUUUGGACCUGCACUUAUAAGGCUUUAACUCCUAAUAGGGGGUGCUAACAGACAAGUAACUGUUGCUAACAAGGAUAAAGCAAUAAACUGGGAAUGAAAGCGACUCCACACUAUCAAACGAACUGACCAUACUAAACCUAAACACUAGGGAUGGGGCUCCCACACUUAGGAAUGGAAUUCCACUCAAAAGUAUAAGACCUAACCGCAUAAGCUAGCCUGCUCCUCAUCUCCCAUAUCUGUAUUUGUCUCGGGCACUCCUGCUUUGCUUAAUCCAUCGAUAUAGAUCUUUGCUCUAAACCUAUAACUGCUAGGAUCGGUUGUGAGCCUAUAUCUCUUUGCUUGAAAACCUUAUCUAUGCUUUGCUUCCUCUACAGCGUUCCUUGAUUCUUAGUUGAAAGUUGAGUUAUUUAUCCCUUGUUUCAUUGCCUGGAAAGCUAGGGGAAGUAAUGGCAUCAGAAUCAUAUGUUGCACAGGAAACGCAUGCUAGGUUCAGUAAGAGCAUAAGAAGAAUCAAAUACUUAGCUCUCCUUGCCUAGAUCGUAAGUCUUGUAGUCUAGUCCGGUAAACUACAUUAUGGAAUUCUGAUCCCUCGCCCAAUGAGCGAGACAAAAGAAGCUACUCUCGGUGAAUGAGCGAUGACACUUUCCCUUAGCUACAAUAAUAUUAGUGGUACUGCGCAGCUUUAAUGAUGAGUUGAUGACCGCUCACAGAAUCUGUUAUGUUGUUUAAAGAGUCAGUCCCCGGUCUGGUUUAAAGAGUUAGUCCCCGGGUGAUGUCCAAUUGCCCACAAAAGACUGAGUUGAUGCUACCUAAAUGAAAGAAUUCGCUGUUCACAUACACUUUCCGAAUUAAGUGCAUGCGCUCAAUCUCCUUGUUUGUUUCUCACGUCUGUUGGUUAUGUGGUGAGUACGUCGACCUUGACCACGUAUUGAGAAUAUGUUUUCAUAUAAUAAUAAUGAGAAAAUCCAUAUCCAUAUUCUAAUGGUAAAACACAUUCCAAUAGUAUAUUAAGGAAUACCAAUAAAAGAUGGAAUGACAGCAACGAGAUGAAGUUUGAAUCAAAUCAAUAGGUAGGGAAAUGCAGCUAAUGAACGGAGGGCUCACAGUAGGGCGCUAACUCCAACUAAAGAAUGCAAAUAGGUAGUGUCGGUUUGAGAGCUCUAUUCAAGAUAUGCGUCGUUAGGGUGUAUUGGUAGAGUUCAAGUAAAGAGUCAGUCGUGUUAUCAAUGUCGAUUUCCUACCUAAAUGGUUGAUUACCACCUCGGAACAAAGCCUCAUUAACAAUAGUGUCAUUCUUUCUAUCAGUGGUGUCGAGCCCAUCAUUCUUUCUAUCAGUGGUGUCGAGCCCAAGUCCUGUGUUCGUCACCUAGUUGUUGACUUGCCUAGUAGCUUGGCCCUUUCUUUACUUUGAAUCGACUACAGGCUCUUUAUUACCUGCGCCACCAACCAAUACCUUUCAUUGAAAACUCCAUAUUAGAUUCCUGUCGACCGAGAUACUCCAUUACUACUGGAUACUUUCUUCUUCCCCGAAAGACUAUUCCCUCAAUAUAAGUUGUGGUAACUAUAAUCUACUCUUAGUAUUAUUCCGAAGUCAAAGUAUCCUUACCGGGGAACUCUCCUCUUCUUACCAUGUGUCUCAACACCAACACUUCAAACAGCCAUUCCCGACCUCAGAUCUGGCUUGUUAGCUUCCCCUCCUCGACUUAGGUCUUACGCUCCUGUCUUGGGGAAUCCAACUCAUAAUACAGAUUUCACUAAAGAAGUCAAAGCAUGAAACGCUGCCUCUAACCAUUAGUCUGACCCCUAACUACUAGCAUUCCUUGAGAAGUAUCCUUCUAGCCCAACCCAAGCUAUGUUCCACGAGCCCGAGCCAUCCCAUACACCUUUGAUUCUUUAAUAAGGGUAUGAUAUACAGCGCACCAAAGGAAUAGAAUAAAACAAGGUAGUAAGAUCAUUUCAAUCGACAAUACAAGAAGUCAACUAACAAGUCAGAAGUAAACAAAUACGAAUAAGGAUACCAGGCUAGGUUAACUAAUAGAAGUAGAGGAAUGGCAUAUCACCCCCAGAAGUAGAAGAAUGGCAUAUCACACACAACUGGAAGAAUGAAACUCACCCCAAAGGAUAUAAGGAUUUGCGCUAAGAACUAGCACUUGAGAACUAGCAAACCCCACUACGGCUAAUAAGACUUAAAGACAUAGUUCGGUAGCUCCAAACGGACACUACUUCAUAUCAGUGUCGCGCCUAUCUGUUAGAUCCCGACUUGUUAGGUUUAGUCUGGCACACUUACACCUAAAUCUGGUCUAUGAGUUUAUGUCUUCUACUGGCUUCUUUCACUCUGUAGUUGUAGCUUCGGUCUUACGUCCCUUGCUUUGAGUCUAGUGCUUCCCGCCUGCUAUUCCGUAUUGAACUACUCUAUUCUUAUUCUGUUGACUUAUAUUACUUAUUAUUUGAACUUCUUAUAAUGUAAUGCAAAUAAUUCUAUUAUAUUAUAAUAUGUUUUAAUAUGUUCAAUUCUAUUCUAUCUUUCUAGUGGUUUAUUAGGGAAAUUGGUUCUAAACAGGACAAUAGCUAUUCUGUUUUUGUAUCAAAAUGAGUGGUUUUCUAUUGAACGAUGGAGCUAUGGUGCACGACCGACCGCCCUAUGAAUGAUCGAGUGCCCCGGGGUAUGCUCAUAGAAUUGGUUAUGUGGCUCUUGGAUACAGAGCUAUGUUACAUCAGUAAAGGAAUUCCGAGUUGAGUUGUUGAGUGCGAUCCCUUUCCUCCUGUUUAGGUCUUAGAAGAAGUAGUUCGAGUCUGGUUGCCCUUAAGGCAUAUUCUGAUAUUUGUUGUAAAAGUAUGAGAAGCACUGGUUCUUAUUUGUUUCGUACUAGAUGCACUGGAUCACAUCAUACCCGUUCGGAUAUUGACUCUCUCAUACCUAUCAUACCCGUUCGGAUAUUGACUCUCUCAGACCUAUUAUCAUUCUAUUGGCUCCGCCUUUCCAUACCUAGGCUAUUGACUACACCCUUAAUUCUGACUCGUUAUAUAAAAACUCUAUAUUGAAUUGCAACACACAAGCUAUUCCCUUACUUUACUGAACCAAAGAAAAGCAGUAAACCAAUACAGAGGCAAGUCGAACAACAACGAACAUAGGCCCUUAUCAAUACUGUCAACGACGAACAGGUAUUUCUUAACGAACAUAGGCCCUUAUCAAUACUGUCAGGAACGAGCAUAGGAUCGAACAAGACAAGAGCGAACUAGAAUGGAUUUUAGUAGAAACUUGCCCGACCCCACCUAGAAGCUUGCCCUACCUAUCUCUAUAGCCCGAGCCCCUACAUUGAUAUUAACUCUUAUACUUAACGAACACCGGCACAAACAUAGAAAAGAAAUGAUAAUAGCAAUAGCCGUUUUGAGACAAAGUGACUAUAGGAAAACACUAGACUAGUCAAAUACUCUAAAAAACGAAUAUGAGAAAAUACUAAUAUGAGAAAACACAUCCUAAAUCUAAGUAAAUAAGAAAAGUCAAAGAAUCAAUUAGGUACACCAAUGGGCAGGUACACCAAUGAGUAGGGCAGGGCACCCGCGUAUGGCACAACACACCCGCGCACAAGAGCUUAAGUUCAAUGAAAAACAAUAUCGGUUUUUGAUCCACAAAUACAGAAAUACAGGACUUGCUCAUAACUCGUAAGACUCUAAAACUACAGUAGUCGUUGCUUGGCCCUAGCAUCAGUAGCACGGGUUGAAGCCUUAGUAGCAGUAGUUUCAUUCUGAUCUUAGGCAGCUGCAUCCUAUGCCUUGCGAGCUCCAUUCUCAACUCCCCUUCCAGCUUCCUCGCCUUCUACUUACUAGUUCCCGAACUCUCCCUCUCCUCUUUAGUACUUUCAAUCAGGGGCCAGCAGUAUAUUAACAAUUCCUGCUUUCGGGAGUGUUACUCUUACUGUCAUUCUAUAUAAAGAGAAAGCUGUUUCUUACUAUUUAUUGCUAUUUAUUGGCUUAUUGGCAGCCGAACCCUUUGUUUGCCUCUGCCUCCGCCUUAGCUGAACCUUAAUUGAAUGCUUGGACUAGACCACUCCGCUACUUGCUUCAUCGGGUUUUUCGAAUAGUGGAACAUGGCUUAAAGGACGCAAAAGGGCCGCUGUAGCUCCUUGUCCACGAGAAUGGGCUUAUUAUUUUAUUGACAGCUUUUGGGGGGUACCUCAAUGGGGCGCAAAGCUCUUUUAUUAGCCUAAAGAUACGCAGUGGUUACGGCUUACAGAAAGAAAAGUGAAAUGUUAUUGAAUUAUAGGCGGUAAUCCACUUGAAGCAGACAAACCCUAUAUACACACAUUACACAUUCCGGACUGAGGACAUUCAAGACUAAGGCAUUGGUACCGAUCGUUAUCUAAACUCACUUUAUUAUUUACUUCGACACUUUCUUCCCAACACUUCGUAGGCAUUCGAAAGGAGAUUGAGCUCCCGUUAGCGCUAUUCUUUACCUACUUAUGAUAUAGCUUCGGCAUUAGAUCUUAUUCAAACUCAGGAUAUAGCUUAUUCUCUUGCUUCAAAGGAGGAUUCUCUUGCUUUAUUUUAUUCCCAUCUAAAGCUCGGUCAUUGGCUGUCCUCCUUAAUCGAUUCUACUAUGGCGAAGCGUUGGUCUUUUGGAGAAUUUCUUGCUUGCUUGCUCUCCACUGGUCUUGAUCGGUCUGUCGGUCCAAGAUAGAAGUAUUGGUCUGUCGGUCCAAGAGAUAAGUAAACUCUAGUUGCUUCUCCUGUCCGGUGGCAAACUGGUAUUCUCUUUAUGGUGCUCGGGUCGGGUCGGCAGCAAGCAUAGGAGCUAAGGUCGAAAGCGAGAUGGAGUGAAGCACAGUCGGCAACAGCUAAUUGGGCGAUUCUUGUUGCAGUCCUAUACCAUAUAUAUCGAGAUCAUUAUAAGACCUCUGCCAAGUACCACAGAAUUGCUCCAAGAUUAUUGAUCUAACUGAGACUCUGUCUUUUACCUAUCGAUUUAGGAAAGUGGGGAAGGGAUGCAUAAGGCGUGGGAAUUCUUCAUUCAAGGGGGAAUCAAUCGUCUGUCAAAUCUCACUAUUCAUCGGAAUCUGAUUCCAGCUUCUUCAUAAAGGGGUCUUCGGACUACUACCUUUCUUUCCGUUUUUGAUGGCUCUAAGAAAGCCCUAAUAAUAAGUUCCAUAACACUUACUUUGGACUAUUCACAAAAGGAUAUGCGCUAAGGAGACCGCGGUACCCGAAAAACAAGAAAGACAGAAAGUAAGGUAUAAUUAAAAGAAGAAGGGCAGGUCACUGAAGAAGAAAGGCGGGUCACUGAACCUACACAGCUUCAGUCUUACAUCUGCUAGCUACAUUCUCGGGGGUACUGAUUAGAGACCUUAGCUACCCAGCAUCAGGCUUGUUAGCACUGGACAACUACUUGAGAUGCAACUUUACCACAACACCACUACGGGCGACUUCUUCUCUUGAAACAGCUCUAACAGCAUACUUAAUUCACUCACUCCUAGUCCUGUGCCACUUAUAUAUCUGUCACUCCAACCGCAUUAGCUUCAAAGCGUAGUUACUUGUCUGAUGAUUCUCCAAACUCUGCUAUAAAGUCAUCACUUAAUUGAACAGCAACACCUCUUCCUUCUUCCAUAUGGAGAAAGUGGCACCUCGUAGACAAAGACUGUAACUGAAAGAGACUCGACCUCGACUUGAAGUUCA